UACGGAGGGGGCUAGCGUUGUUCGGAAUUACUGGGCGUAAAGCGCACGUAGGCGGACUGUUAAGUCGGGGGUGAAAUCCUGGGGCUCAACCUCAGAAUUGCCUCCGAUACUGGCAGUCUCGAGUGCGGGAGAGGUGAGUGGAAUUCCCAGUGUAGAGGUGAAAUUAGUAGAUAUUGGGAAGAACACCAGUGGCGAAGGCGGCUCACUGGCCCGUAACUGACGCUGAGGUGCGAAAGCGUGGGGAGCAAACAGG
rnacentral:rRNA from 1 species